rnacentral:rRNA from 1 species
UAUAUCAUGUAGAUAUAAGUAAUUCAAAGGGGUUAUUAAGGAAAACUACUGCAAAUUUAUAAAAAAGGAGGUAUAAUACCAAAAGCUUCAGAAAGAAUAUAAUAUUUAUAUUCUUUUCUAAUAUGAAAAUUAUAAGCGAUCCUAAGGUAAACCUUUAUAAAAAUUACUUCCUGAAGUAAAACAUUUUAUUAAGGAAAGGAAAGGAAAUCAACCGAGACUCCGAAAGUAAUGGUGAGUGAAAUCGGAUUAGCCUAAAAUUCUUUCGAUAAUUGAAUAAUUUAAACCAAUUUUCUAUUUUUAUAAUAGAGUUUUGGUAUUAUUUAGCAUAAUUUAUUUAAUUCUUUUCAAUACGAAAAUAAUUUAUAUUUUAUGUUCCAUAGAAGGUCAAAUACAAAAGUCCUGUAGAUUAUUAAAGAAAAAUAUAAUUUAUUAUAUUAAAAUAGUAAGUACGAUGAGAGAUAACUUGUUGGAAAAUAGGGGAACCAUCCUCUAAGGCUAAGUAUUAUAAGUUUAGCGAUAGUGAAAAAGUACUGUAAAGGAAAAGUUUGAAAAGCGAGUGGUAAACAAAUAGUGAAUUAUUAAAAUUUUUAUUUAAUAAUGAAUCGGUGAAAUAGAUCUUGAAUUAGUAACUCUAUAAGCAGUCGGAAUUCAACUUAAAAUCAUAUAAGGUAAAUGAAUGACGGCGUACCUUUUGCAUAAUGGGUCAGCAAGUUAAUAGGAGUAGCAAGGUUUAAAGCCCUAGCGAAAGCGACUGGACUAUAAUAUAAAUAAAAAUUUUAUAUUAAAAUAGUGAUGGAUAAGUUACUUCUAUUAGACCCGAAGCCAGGUGAUCUUACCAAGACCAGAUUAUAAUGGAUCGAACGGGUGAAUGUUGCAUAAUUCUCCGAUGAGUUUUGGUAAGCGGUGAAAUGCCAAUCUGACCUGGUGAUAGCUGGUUUUCUACCGAAACAUAUUUAAGUAUGACGUCUACACAAGAUUUAUGGAGGUACAGCAAGGCAAUUCCCAACAAGUAUAAAAUUAUUAUUAAAUCAAUAAUAAAAUUUAUAUGCGUUUAGGUUGCGGGGAUCUCGAAAAUCUUACCUUUGGAAGCGAAACUCGGAAUUACAUAAAUUGAUGGUAGAUAUUCAGACUACUCAUGCUAAGUUGGGUAGUCAAGACGGAAACAGCCGAGAACACAGAUCAAGGUCCCAAAUGAUUGUUAAGUGAAAUUAAGGAUGUAGCAUAAUCGUAUACAGCUGUGAAGUGAGCCUGGCAGUCGCUACUUUUAAUGAACGUUUGUAACAACGCAUCAGCAGUAAAGAUAGUCGCGCCUAAAAUUUAACGGGUCUUAAACAAUCAACCGAUAUCGUGUUGGUUAAGAAUAAAAUAAAUUAACUUAUUUUUAUUCUUAAUCUAGGUAGUAGAACAUUCAGUCAAACCAAUAAUAAAAUAGUGUUUCAUUAUUUUUAGGAUACUGAAGAGAGAAUGCUGACAUGAGUAACGUAAAAAGAAGUUAUAAUACUUCUCGCCGAAUACGAAAGGGUUGCAAAUUGGAAAGGUUAAUCCGUUUUGUGUGAAUGCGGCCUCUAAGGACCAAAACCAAAGUUUUGGCUGAUGAGUAUAAAAUAGAAAGUCCAUAUAUUAAAAAAAUGGACCAGGAAAACAAUAUUUUUGUUAAUUUUAUUUUAACAAUAAACUACCGUACCCUAAACCGACACAGGUUCGUAGGUAGAGUAUACUAAGGCGUAGAGCUAAAAGUUGUUAAGGAACUCGGCAAAUUCACCUCAUAAGUUAGACGACAAGAGGUACCAUUUAUGAUUUUAUAUUAAGGCCUUUAUUUAUUUACUUCCAAUUUUUAACAGAAAGGGUUAAAGAAAUAUUAAUGAAGGAGAUAUCAUAAUUGAUCUUAAAAUGGUGGCACAGAAUCGGAGGCCACGACUGUUUACUAAAAACACAACACAGUGCAAUCAUUAAUAUGGUAGUAUACUGUGUGAAAUUUGCCCAAUGCCAUUAAUAUAAAAGCGGUCAUAGGAAACUGUGACUAAUUGAAAAUCUGGUUAAUAGCGGUCUUAACCAUGAGGAUCCUAAGGUAGCAAAAUAAAUUGGCCAUUAAAUGUGGUCCGGUAUCAAUAAUGUAACGAUGGCCUCACUGUCUCUACAACUUGCUCAGUGAAAUUGAAUUACGCGUGCAGAUGCGCGUUACCUCCAGUGGGACGGGAAGACCCUAUGCAGCUUUACUGUAGUUAGUUAUCACAUGAAUCUAGAACAACUUUAAUUAAUAGUGAAUAGGUAAGUCGAUAGACGUAUAGUGGAAACCUUACAAUUAAGGUUGGGUUUGUGUUUACCUUAUACACCAUUAAAGAGAUAUCUUUAAAAAUAAGAAUGUUUCUUAGUGGUACGAAGGGAGAGUUGACUAAUUGGCAGUUUGACUGGGGCGGUCGUCUUUAAUAGAGUAGCAAAGUACAACCAAAUAUUUCAUAAUUUAAAUAAAUAUUUUAUAUUUUAUUCUUAAUUGAAUUAGAUUAUAAAAUAUUAAAACAAAUAACUUUUCCCUUAAACAGGGACUGUUGUAAAAUAACAGAAAAGUAAAAUGUUUAAACUAAAACAAAACUUUGUCUUUAACUUCAAAUCUUCUUUCUUAUUCUUAAUGUAAGAAGAAAAGAAGAAUAAGACUUAGUCUAAACAUAACAUAAAAUUUUUACAAGGUAUAGCUAGAAAUUGAAUGGAGAUCAAUCAACCAGUGAAGGGUUGCGCAGAGUUCAAUGGCGGAAAGCAUGCUUAACUGAAAGACUCAAAAGUCGCACAGAUACGUAAGUAGGGCAUAGUGACCCCUCGCUAUAGUAUGGAAUAGACGGGGAUCAAUUGAUAAAAGUUACGCUAGGGAUAACAGGCUGAUAGCCGACGAGAGUACACAUUGUCUCGGCUGUUUGGCACCUCGAUGUCGACUCAUCCUAUCCUCCGGGGGAAGAAGCUUGGAAGGGUUCGGCUGUUCGCCGAUUAAAAGGGUACGUGAGUUGGGUUUAAUACGACGUGAGUCAGUAUGGUCCCUAUCUUCUGGAGGAAUAAGUAGUAAAAAGGGGCAGACCUUCUAGUACGAAAGGACCAAUAGGCUGUGUUUCUCUAGUGCACCAAUUGUUUUUACUUUUUGUAAGGGACCUUUACUUCUUAAAAAAGUAUUGGAAAAAUCCUUUUUAACUUUUGUGCAAAAAGUUUUUACUCAAAAUCAUAAAAUGGUAAUGAGAUAAAGGUAACAAAUAGGAACGCAUAGUUGGGUAGCCACAAACAUAAUAGAUAAGUGCUGAAUGUCUCUCAAGCAAGAAUCUAACCCCUAGAUACUAAUAAAAUGGAUCUCUACUAAUAUUAUUAGAAUAGAGUAUAAAACCAUUAAUUAAGAAAUAGAACAUUUCUAGAUAGGCUACAAAUGUACAUACUGUAAAGUAUUU